AACUCGAUCUCAAAUCAAGUAAGAACUACCCCGNCUGUAACUUAAAGCAUUAUCACAUGAGCCGGAAGGAAAUAGAAACCUACUACAGGAUUCCCCCUAGUAACGGCGAGUGAAGCGGGAUGAGCUCAAAUUUAAAAUCUGGCUGGUUUACUAGUCCGAAUUGUAGUUUAUAGAAGCGUUUUCGGUGGCAGCCUGGGUAUAAAUCCUUUGGAAUAGGGUAUCAUAGAGGGUGAGAAUCCCGUCUUUGACUCAGUGCAUGCUACUAUGUGAUACGUUUUCAAAGAGUCGAGUUGUUUGGGAAUGCAGCUCAAAAUGGGUGGUAAAUUUCAUCUAAAGCUAAAUAUUGGCGAGAGACCGAUAGCGAACAAGUACCGUGAGGGAAAGAUGAAAAGAACUUUGAAAAGAGAGUUAAACAGUGCGUGAAAUUGUUGAAAGGGAAACGUUUGACACCAGUUAUGCGGGUGGAAAAUCAGUCUUUUGCAAUGGGGAGUUGUGGGCGUUCAGACCGCAAGGCUGGCGUUUGCUUCAUCUUUGUUGUAAGUGAUGCACUUUUUCAUUUGCAGGUCAACAUCAGUUUGCUUUGCUGGACAAUACCCCAAGGGAAGGUGGCAGCUUAGGCUGUGUUAUAGCCCUGGGG
rnacentral:rRNA from 1 species